rnacentral:lncRNA from 1 species
CCCUGGGCCACAGGCAGCCACGGACCUCGCCUUUCCCACUUGGUUAGAGUCGGCUCUGCCGGGAGAAAGCGAUUCCAGAAUUCCCUAAGUUAAAGGAAUUUCUUACUCCUUCUUGAGCGCCAUCCAAGGGCCAGGCCUUAGUCUAGGAACUGGCAACACCGUGGCGACCACGUCAGACAAGAUCGCUGCCCUCAUUGAGUUCCCAGGUUGGCAGGGGAAACAAAAAUGUAAUAAAUAACUGCACUUUGCAAGAAGAGCUAUGAAGAAAAAACAGGGUGAUGGGAGAGAGAAUGCUUGGAUGUUGAAGGGAGGCCUUUCUGAGAUGGCGACAUCUUGAGCUGAAUAAAGAAGGAUGAGAAAGGAUGGGGCUUGCAAAGUUCUGGCUUCAAAGAAUUCCAGGCAGAGGGAACAAGAGUGAAGUCUCCAGGGGAAGCCAGCUUAGUGUUUGGAGACUAGAAAGAAGGGGUGUGCGGCUGGAAGAUGCUGGAGGUAGAGGACGGAAACUCAAAAGAUGAUUGAAGAUUAAAAAACAAGAUGAUUGAGGCUGGACUUCUCAAAACCUUGCUGCAGCCUGAGCUUGAGCGUUUGUGAGCUUUGCAGCCAGAUAUGAACAGAAGACAGAUUCAUUUCCUGCUGCCUGCUUCUCCAACCCCAAAUCUCCCAGUUUGAUCCGAGAGCCCUGAAGAUUUGCCUUCACCCGGCGCGAAACCCAUAAUUCCAAUUUAAGAAUGAGGAAAACAUCAGAGAGAUUCCAGCAGAGGGAUAUCCCACAAUGCAUCCGCUCAGGACUCCUCAAAACUUUCAAGGUUACCAAAGCAAGGAGAAUCUGACAAAAUGAUCACAGCCCAGAAAAGCCUAUGAAGAUCCGCAAACUACGUGGUAUCUUGGAUGGGACCCUGGAACAGAAAAUAGGCAUUAGGCAAGAAAUCGAGAAAAUCUGAAUGGCACUGGACUUUAGUAAAU